GGGAGAAACUUUUUCUGCUUCCUGUUCUGAUGUUUUCAUCAUGACAUUUUAUUGCCAAUCCUCCUCAUCUCAAAGGGGAAAGAAGAAAGGAAGAAACCAUAGCAAUAAUUACCAACUGAGGAAGUUUGCAAUAUCCAUCAUUACUUACCCCACUAAGGAUAUGCUCACCUGUGGGAAAGCUGUGAAGAUCCUACAAGUGCAUGGACAUAAGAGGAGGUGGGUCAAAUGACAUGUGGUUUUGAAGAAGGUGUAGAGAGAUUUGGAUUUGAGUAUCCAUCAUUGUUCUAUGGAAGUACGCGGGCCUCUCACUGUUGCAGCGCACAGGCUCCGGACGCGCAGGCUCAGCGGCCAUGGCUCACGGGCGCAGCCGCUCCGCGGCAUGUGGGAUCUUCCCGGACCAGGGCACGAACCCGUGUUCCCUGCAUCGGCAGGCGGACUCUCAACCACUGCACCACCAGGUAUGCCCCUCUAGUGUUGUUUUGAAACCUUUACAAGAAUGGUACAUAUU